rnacentral:rRNA from 1 species
GACGAACGCUGGCGGCGUGCUUAACACAUGCAAGUCGAACGGAAAGGCCCUGCUUUUGUGGGGUGCUCGAGUGGCGAACGGGUGAGUAACACGUGAGUAACCUGCCCUUGACUUUGGGAUAACUUCAGGAAACUGGGGCUAAUACCGGAUAGGAGCUCCUGCUGCAUGGUGGGGGUUGGAAAGUCUCGGCGGUUGGGGAUGGACUCGCGGCUUAUCAGCUUGUUGGUGGGGUAGUGGCUUACCCAGGCUUUGACGGGUAGCCGGCCUGAGAGGGUGACCGGCCACAUUGGGACUGAGAUACGGCCCAGACGCCUACGGGAGGCAGCAGUGGGGAAUAUUGCACAAUGGGCGGAAGCCUGAUGCAGCAACGCCGCGUGCGGGAUGACGGCCUUCGGGUUGUAAACCGCUUUCGCCUGUGACGAAGCGUGAGUGACGGUAAUGGGUAAAGAAGCACCGGCUAACUACGUG